GGUGAUGUAGCUUAGCUGGCAAAGCGCUUGCCUUGGAAUCAAAUGGUUCUCAUUCCAAGUAAGAGAUGGGGGUUCGAGUCUCUCCUUUACCUCGA
rnacentral:tRNA from 1 species